AUUGAACGCUGGCGGCAUGCCUUACACAUGCAAGUCGAACGGCAGCACGGGUGCUUGCACCUGGUGGCGAGUGGCGAACGGGUGAGUAAUACAUCGGAACAUGUCCUGUAGUGGGGGAUAGCCCGGCGAAAGCCGGAUUAAUACCGCAUACGAUCUACGGAUGAAAGCGGGGGACCUUCGGGCCUCGCGCUAUAGGGUUGGCCGAUGGCUGAUUAGCUAGUUGGUGGGGUAAAGGCCUACCAAGGCGACGAUCAGUAGCUGGUCUGAGAGGACGACCAGCCACACUGGGACUGAGACACGGCCCAGACUCCUACGGGAGGCAGCAGUGGGGAAUUUUGGACAAUGGGCGAAAGCCUGAUCCAGCAAUGCCGCGUGUGUGAAGAAGGCCUUCGGGUUGUAAAGCACUUUUGUCCGGAAAGAAAUCCUUGGCCCUAAUACGGUCGGGGGAUGACGGGACCGGAAGAAUAAGCACCGGCUAACUACGU
rnacentral:rRNA from 1 species